GGUAACACUAACUGGAGGACCGAACCGACUAAUGUUGAAAAAUUAGCGGAUGACCUGUGGCUGGGGGUGAAAGGCCAAUCAAACCGGGAGAUAGCUGGUUCUCCCCGAAAGCUAUUUAGGUAGCGCCUCGUGAAUUCAUCUCCGGGGGUAGAGCACUGUUUCGGCUAGGGGGCCAUCCCGGCUUACCAACCCGAUGCAAACUGCGAAUACCGGAGAAUGUUAUCACGGGAGACACACGGCGGGUGCUAACGUCCGUCGUGAAGAGGGAAACAACCCAGACCGCCAGCUAAGGUCCCAAAGUCAUGGUUAAGUGGGAAACGAUGUGGGAAGGCCCAGACAGCCAGGAUGUUGGCUUAGAAGCAGCCAUCAUUUAAAGAAAGCGUAAUAGCUCACUGGUCGAGUCGGCCUGCGCGGAAGAUGUAACGGGGCUAAACCAUGCACCGAAGCUGCGGCAGCGACACUGUGUGUUGUUGGGUAGGGGAGCGUUCUGUAAGCCUGUGAAGGUGUGUCGUGAGGCAUGCUGGAGGUAUCAGAAGUGCGAAUGCUGACAUAAGUAACGAUAAAGCGGGUGAAAAGCCCGCUCGCCGGAAGACCAAGGGUUCCUGUCCAACGUUAAUCGGGGCAGGGUGAGUCGACCCCUAAGGCGAGGCCGAAAGGCGUAGUCGAUGGGAAACGGGUUAAUAUUCCCGUACUUGGUGUUACUGCGAAGGGGGGACGGAGAAGGCUAUGUUGGCCGGGCGACGGUUGUCCCGGUUUAAGCGUGUAGGUGUGUGUUCCAGGUAAAUCCGGUUCACUUUAACACUGAGGCGUGACGACGAGGCACUACGGUGCUGAAGCAACAAAUGCCCUGCUUCCAGGAAAAGCCUCUAAGCAUCAGGUAACAUCAAAUCGUACCCCAAACCGACACAGGUGGUCAGGUAGAGAAUACCAAGGCGCUUGAGAGAACUCGGGUGAAGGAACUAGGCAAAAUGGUGCCGUAACUUCGGGAGAAGGCACGCUGACACGUAGGUGAAGUGAUUUACUCAUGGAGCUGAAGUCAGUCGAAGAUACCAGCUGGCUGCAACUGUUUAUUAAAAACACAGCACUGUGCAAACACGAAAGUGGACGUAUACGGUGUGACGCCUGCCCGGUGCCGGAAGGUUAAUUGAUGGGGUCAGCGCAAGCGAAGCUCCUGAUCGAAGCCCCGGUAAACGGCGGCCGUAACUAUAACGGUCCUAAGGUAGCGAAAUUCCUUGUCGGGUAAGUUCCGACCUGCACGAAUGGCGUAAUGAUGGCCAGGCUGUCUCCACCCGAGACUCAGUGAAAUUGAACUCGCUGUGAAGAUGCAGUGUACCCGCGGCAAGACGGAAAGACCCCGUGAACCUUUACUAUAGCUUGACACUGAACAUUGAGCCUUGAUGUGUAGGAUAGGUGGGAGGCUUUGAAGUGUGGACGCCAGUCUGCAUGGAGCCGACCUUGAAAUACCACCCUUUAAUGUUUGAUGUUCUAACGUGGACCCGUUACCCGGGUUGCGGACAGUGUCUGGUGGGUAGUUUGACUGGGGCGGUCUCCUCCUAAAGAGUAACGGAGGAGCACGAAGGUUGGCUAAUCCUGGUCGGACAUCAGGAGGUUAGUGCAAUGGCAUAAGCCAGCUUGACUGCGAGCGUGACGGCGCGAGCAGGUGCGAAAGCAGGUCAUAGUGAUCCGGUGGUUCUGAAUGGAAGGGCCAUCGCUCAACGGAUAAAAGGUACUCCGGGGAUAACAGGCUGAUACCGCCCAAGAGUUCAUAUCGACGGCGGUGUUUGGCACCUCGAUGUCGGCUCAUCACAUCCUGGGGCUGAAGUAGGUCCCAAGGGUAUGGCUGUUCGCCAUUUAAAGUGGUACGCGAGCUGGGUUUAGAACGUCGUGAGACAGUUCGGUCCCUAUCUGCCGUGGGCGCUGGAGAACUGAGGGGGGCUGCUCCUAGUACGAGAGGACCGGAGUGGACGCAUCACUGGUGUUCGGGUUGUCAUGCCAAUGGCACUGCCCGGUAGCUAAAUGCGGAAGAGAUAAGUGCUGAAAGCAUCUAAGCACGAAACUUGCCCCGAGAUGAGUUCUCCCUGAGACUUAGAGUCUCC
rnacentral:rRNA from 1 species